rnacentral:lncRNA from 1 species
UGGAUCGAGAUACAGUUGGCCCGUUACCGCACCCAGGUGGCUCUCAGUGGGACUCAUCAACGAUGCCGUAUGCCAACACUUACCUUCCACAAUCAGUCGCAGGUUACACACCUUUGCCAUUUAAUUAUACGAGUAGUGAUCCAACGUACGCCUACGCUUGUGAAGAAAGUAUUCACAGCGGAUCAGGAAGUAGCAAUGGUUCAGAGCGAUCCCGUAUUCUCCAAUCAAAUACAGGAGUGAUGAACCCUCCACCUUUACCACAAACACUGAAAGGGCGAGGUGGAAGCUCUGGUGGAAGUGAGUCAGGAGUUGAAAAAACUGGUGAUCACAGGUCACGGUCGAGUGGGUCUGACUCGAGGUCUUCAGCAGUAACAGCCACAGCAACAAACCCUGAUGACCUCUCUGCCUCAAGGCAGUCGUUUCGAAUGGCCAUGGGAAAUCCUUUUGAGUAUGAUCUAUUGGAGCAGAACUUAUAG